GAAUUCUGCCCUGAAGGUCAUGGCUCUUCUCCAGCAGCAGCUCCAGUGAAGGCUUCACAAGUUUACCCAACUCUAGCACUAACCAACUUUUCAGAGUCCUUUCUCUCCAAUAGUCAUCUUUGUGUAAAGAGCCGAAAAGCAAAUGUUCCAAUUCACAAAAAGGCUCUUCUGUAAAAGGAUUUGUAUGAGAUCAAAAGGGUUUCUAACUGGGACAGACCUGCAAGCUUGGAGUGCUGUGCUUUUCUGGCAUGUGCUGUAAUUAAUAAAUACACUGAACAUUACAUAUAAUCUGCAUAUUAGUGACCCAAUGCACAAUUCAUAUGGUAAUGCCAUUAAUUGCAUAUUACCUAGGCUGCUUAAUGAACAUUACAUAGGUUUCUAAUGGAUGUAGUUAUUAUAAUUGAGUUCAAUUAUAUCCCUGCCAUGCAUAUGAGGUCAAUAGACUAGCUCGACCCCACAAGGUCUGGGAGAAAGGAAACAGGUGUUUAUAGUGAGGGCAAUUUGUGAGCUGGAGCAGAGGGAAGGGAGAGGCCAAGGGCCAGAGAUGACUUGCUUGGCUGGACACUUUUUAGGGCCUGGAUAGUGGUGCACAAAGCUGGGUAAACAGCAGGCAGUCUAUGCACAAAGGCAGGAUCUCCUGCUUGCCCCUCUGCCAUGGGUUUGGAACAGGGCACCCGACUGGAGCCCUGAAGCCAGCCACACCCACGCUGUAACAGGACACUUUCUUCUAGGCUGACCCAAAGCCAACGGGCAGUUGCAUCACUUCCUCUGGCAGAGUGGAGGCCACAUGAUUCUAGCAUCUGGGCUUGCCAAGGGAUGCAGGGGAGCCCUGCCUGCCCAUGAUGCUGGCGCAGAAGGCCCUGAGCCUGGUGUUGCUUCUUUUCUCCAAAUUCUGUGUCUGGAGCGGAAGAGGCAAAACUGCUGCUCCCAUAUUCUGGGUGCUCACAGCCUCUAAAAGAGAUAACCCCAUGUGGACAGAAAACUAGGGAGUGAAGAGGCAUCAGAGUUCCAGACACUUGCCUUCCUAAAAAAGAGAAAGACCCUGACAGAGCAACAGGCCUGACCUUCACACCUAAGUGACCCAAGGUCACAGAGAGGCUGAGGGGCCAUGGGACUCCAGUGAAGCAGGAGUAUUCAUCCAGCCACAGAGGUAGGACCAGUCCAAAUGGGAUCUGUCUGUUCCAAAGGUUAUUCUCCUUGAGCUCAAUCCAGCAGAUCCUGUCCCACUUGGAACCUGGCUAUGAGUGAGAAAACAUCUGUGGUUGGAAAAUGGGGCUGGUAAUUCAGGCCUGUUUGGGACUUGAAGAAGAUGCUCUUGAAUGCUUUGCUCAACAAACACCUCCCUUCUGCAAGGAGGUGAGAGGUCAUCUGUCUGUCUGCUUUGACAUUUUCACCCAGUGAACUUCAGGGCUUAAGACACCUUCCCCAUAAGUUGGACUGAGCUCGGCACAAACUGUCCCUGAAUUUGACCAUAACUGACUCACCAAAGGUCUGAAUAGGGGAGAAGGCAAAAGCAGACAAACAGGCACUGAGUACUUUGCCAUCCCAGACCUGUGUCAUGUAAACAGGCUGUCUGCUUCACAGCCAAGGAAUGAGCCCUGGACGUGGGUCGGAACUGGAGCCUUAACAGCUAAUACCCAGAGCCUUUGACUGUGGACGACUGUGUUCAAAGGGGCAGGCUGCCCACUACUAGGGCACAGAGGAGAGGCAGGAUGUGGGGAAAGAGUGUGGUUUUGGAAUCAGACACAACUGGUCCCCGCCACUUACUCAGCCUUGUGACCUUGGAUGAAAAAGUCUCUUAUUCUUUCUAAGGCUCAGUUUCCCCAACUGUGAAACUGACAUAACACUAUGGACUUCAAAAGGCUUUACAAGCAAAACAAUUUAUAAAACAAUUUAUUCAGGCACAUAGCACAGUGCUAGCACAUAGAUAUAUAAGUAAUAGUUUUUCCUCUGUUCCUUCAACGUGGAGGAGAGGCAUCUGUUGUCUCUUCAAGUUAAUUAAUUUGAAAAUACUCAAUAGCAACCAUUUCUUAAAUUCCUCUUAUGAGCCAUUUUAGUUUUGCAACAACUGCACAAUAGACAGUAUUAUUCCCAUUUUACAGAUAUGCACAUUGAGGCUCAGGGAGUACACCACAUAUAGUGACUUUGAUCUUCUCAUUGCCCUGACACUGAGGAGAGAGAGAUAACAAAAUCAAAAGGAACAGUUGGAGGAAGAAAUGUCAAAUAUAGGAGGCUGGAAGCAUAGUCUCUAACCUCAGUCUAGCCUUGGAUAAUAGCGUUUUCAUCUUGCUACAGUUGUAGCAGACACCGCUGGGUGCCCUCCCCUAUUUUAUUCAUUUGUAUGUUCAUUGAGCAAUUUAUCUAUUGCUAAUUCCUUAGCAAGCACUUACUGUGAGCUUCCUUUUAUUAUUACUAUUAUUAUUCAUUUUAGAGACAGGGCUAUGCCAUUAUGUGGCGUAGGCUGGAGGGCAGUGGCUAUUUACAGGUGUGAUCCCACUACUGAUCAGCAUGGGAGUUUUGACCUGAUUCAUUUCUGCCCUGGGCCCAUUUGCCCCUCCUUGGGCAACCUGUGAUGCCCCACUCCCAGGAGGUCACUGUACUGACGCUGAACUUAGUGUGGGCACCCCAUCGGCCCAGCACACUACAGCCCAAAACUCCUGUGCUCAAGUGAUCCUUCCACCACAGUCUUCCCAGCAGCUGGGACUACAGGUGCAUGCCAUUGUGCUCAGCUACUGUGAACUUCCUACGUCCUCAAAUCCUGCUACUCAAAACAUAAUUUCUAAGCCAGAAGCAUCAGCAUCACUGGGAGCUUAUUAGAAAUACUGAUUCCCAGGCCCAACCUCGGACCAACUGGACCAGAGAAUCUGCAUUAUAACAAGAUCCCUGGGUGAUUCACAGCAUAUAUGAAAAUCGCUAUCCUUAAUGCUUUUCUUUUUAUUUUUUUUCUUGUUUUUUUUUUGUUUGUUUUGUUUUUGUUUUUGUUUU